CCAGAGAGGCUGCGAGAAUCAGCAGGUUUUAACCYGGGAGAGAUGGACAGAAAGAGCAGGUUUUGACCCCAAAGCGGUGGAGAGAAAGAGCAGCUUUUAACCCCUGGGAGACUGGCGGAAAAGGCAGGUUUUAACCUCAAAGCAGUGGGAGGGAAACGGCACUUUUUAACCCCAGAGAGGCUGCGAGAAACGGGAGGUUUUAACCUGGGAGGGAUGGACAGAAAGAGCAGGUUUUAACCCCAAAAGGUGGGGGGAAACGGCAGAUUUCACCCCAAAGCGGUGUAAGGAAACGGCAGCUUUCAACCCCAGGGGGUUGACAGAAAUGGCAAGUUUUAACCCCAAAGAGAGGGGGGGAAAUGACAGUUUUUAACUCCAGGGAGACUGGUAGAAACAGCAGGUUUUAACCCCGAAAAGGAGGAGGGAAAGAGCAGAUUUCACCCCCAAAAGAUGGGGGGAAACAGCAGCUUUUAACCCUGGGGAGAUUGACGGAAACGGCAGCUUUUCACCCCAAAGACAGAUUGACGGAAACAGCCGCUUUUCACCCCGGCACGGCCUCAGGAAACAGCAACUUUGGACCAUUUCCUCUCAUCCGGCUCCUUCGGAUCGUUAUCGCCUUUAUUAAUUAGCCRACCGGCUCCUGUUAAACCCCCGGAGCUAAUUAAUAAACGCCGACUCGUCGCUUUUCCCCCUAUCGCUAAUUUUGCGCAGCGGCCGAAUUGCCCUUUUUCUCCGUUUUCCCACUUUUUAGCCCUCUGUGAAGCUCCUUCUCUCCGCAUAAAAAAAAUUCAAUUUUUUUUAAAAAUUUUCCCCCCUUGCUGCUUUUUUCCCCCCCUGGUUUGUCCCAAAUUUGGUGUUUCCGCAAUGCUUUCCUGCGGCUGGCCGUGCCCCGGAGCCUCCGGGAGGGAUUUGGGGUCUUUCAAGCUUGAUUUUUUUUAGGCUUUGGGGAUUUUUUUUUUAGGUUUUCCCGCACCAGCCGUCGCGAUGGAGCAGGUGGAAAGUGAUGGGGAAAGAGGGGAAGCGGCUCCAUCCGUCUCGGAGGGCUGGAGCCGGCCGGCCUUGGAGGAAACAGGAAUGCCGCUUUCGGAGGCCGCCCAUGAGCAGUCGCCCGGCGAGAGCCGCUGCCCCGACCCUGCCGGAGCGGAGUCCCAGGUAUGGCCGGCUGCUCCGCGCCGUGGGAAUUUUCCCCCGGCUCCGAGGCGCUGGAGCAAAGUUCCCCAACGUUGUUCCGGUGGGGACGACGCUCCUGCUCCCGUCCCCUUUGGUGGCGGCUCACUCCCAAACUCCUUCCCACAGGAAGGCCAGGAUGCUGGGAGCGACUGCGACGACCGCUCCUGGGUGGUCCUGUCCGGCACUCCAGGUACAGCGGUGGGAAUAAUGUGGGA
rnacentral:lncRNA from 1 species